rnacentral:rRNA from 1 species
UACAGAGGUCUCAAGCGUUGUUCGGAUUCAUUGGGCGUAAAGGGCGCGUAGGCGGGAUGGCAAGUCGGUCGUGAAAUCCCUGGGCUCAACUCAGGGGGGUCGGCCGAUACUGCCAUUCUUGAGGGAUGCAGAGGAGACUGGAAUUCCCGGUGUAGCGGUGAAAUGUGUAGAGAUCGGGAGGAACACCGGUGGCGAAGGCGGGUCUCUGGGCAUUCCCUGACGCUGAGGCGCGAAAGCGUGGGGAGCAAACGGG